UCCAGGAUAGCCUAGUGGACAUGGCACCUGCCCGGUAAGCAGAAGGUUGUGGGUUCGAUUCCCGCUCCUUGGAC